ACAUACAUACCCAUCCAAGUAGGUAUUUCUUAUCAUCCUCGACGCUAUCAUCAAAGUUUGGCCUUCCUGCAAUGAUUUCCAUUGCCACGAUUCCAAAUGCAAAAACAUCAGCUUUCUCCGUGAGAUGGCCCAUCAUGGCAUACUCAGGUGCGAGAUAACCUCUAAAAAGUAAGAACACGAUAAUGUUGGUCGAUUGAUCUUCUGUCAUGAAUACGACAUAGAAAUAUAUGCAAAGAAAUGUUCUUACAGCGUGCCUGCAACUCCUGUGCUAACAUGAGUCAUGCUGUCAUUAUAAUGCCUAGCAAGCCCAAAGUCAGAGAUCUUGGGAUUGAGGUUAGCAUCAAGUAAGACAUUGCUGGUUUUGAUGUCCCUGUGCACUAUUCGUGUGCUAGACUCCUCGUGAAGAUAUGCUAGGCCUCUUGCUAUGCCUACGCAUAUCUCAAAGCGGGUUCUCCAGUCUAG
rnacentral:sRNA from 1 species